rnacentral:rRNA from 1 species
GACGAACGCUGGCGGCGUGCCUAAUACAUGCAAGUUGAGCGCUGAAGGUUGGUACUUGUACCAACUGGAUGAGCAGCGAACGGGUGAGUAACGCGUGGGGAAUCUGCCUUUGAGCGGGGGACAACAUUUGGAAACGAAUGCUAAUACCGCAUAACAACUUUAAACACAAGUUUUAAGUUUGAAAGAUGCAAUUGCAUCACUCAAAGAUGAUCCCGCGUUGUAUUAGUUAGUUGGUGAGGUAAAGGCUCACCAAGGCGAUGAGACAUAGCGGACCUGAGAGGGGGAUCGGCCACAUUGGAACGGAGACACGGCCCGAACUCCUGCGGGAGGCAGCAGUAGGGAACCUUCGGCAAUGGACGAAAGUCUGACCGAGCAACGCCGCGUGAGUGAAGAAGGUAUUCGGAUCGUAAAACUCUGUUGGUAGAGAAGAACGUUGGUGAGAGUGGAAAGCUCAGCAAGUGACGGUAACUACCCAGAAAGGGACGGCUAACUACGUG